CCCGCACCCGCCCGUCGCCAUGGCAACGGCGAGGGGCCUAAAUAAACCUUUAGUGAGGGCCUGAAUAAACCUUUAGUGGAUAUUUGUACCAAUACCGUCAGCACAGCCGCGUUUCUAUCCACAGGCCUCCUCCGGGGCUGCCAGCGUGUAAGCCUGCUGCACCCCCAUUUGAGAGGGUGAUGUCAAAGCCAGAGCCCCGUAGAGCUCGGCUUCACUUUUUGUGUCAGUGUAGAAGCUGUCCCUUACAGUAGAGCUACUGUACAGGAGAAUCAAUAUAAAGUGUAUCAUAAAUAUAUACAGUAGAAGAAAGAUAUACAUACAUUCAUACAAGAAAGACAAGGAGAUGUUGGAGAGGGUCCAGCAGAGGCACAAACAGCCGUGGUUGCUGAGGUUUCCCCAGGACAGCUUGUGUUAAAGGUCUCAGAGAUCGGCUGCAGCCACCCAAAGGGGCGGAUGCCCACACAGCUCUCCCUCCAGUCACCAAAAUGUUUUCCACACCAGGAGAGCGCUUUCCCCAGUUCCCAGCGGAGGGCAGUGAUGAGAACCUAAAAUCCGCACGCAGCCAAGGGAGAGGGGAAUAAAAAGCCAAACCUAAACCCAAGCCUUUGCUUUGAAUUCAGUCCUGCUUUGUGAGGCAAACGCAGGCGGACCAAAGCAUCUUCUGUACCUUUUGAGUGAUUUAUUCUCCACCCAAAGCGGCACAGCCCAACACCACUCAUGUCAGAUAAAAAGACAAGGCUUUAAGUGAAAGCAGAACAUCUGAGGAGGAUCCCCUUUGAAGCUGCAGAUCCAGUUCAAAGUCACACGCAUCAAACAGAGCUAUCAAUGCUUUAGACAGAAAGGCCUAAAUGAGUCUUGUUUUUUAAACCACCACGUGCUUGGGAUGUUGAGAGAGCUCUGGGUGCGGUUUUAAUCAGUCAGAACUGAACAUACAGAAAAGCCUGUGUGACAUUGACAUUAUUGUUUAAAUGGGCAACAUAGAUGAUGCUCAUUUCAAUUAGUGGGGAUGUAUCCUGACCAAAAUAAGCAUGGGGUAAGCCCUUUCUUCAAUGAAAGCAGUUAGCAUAGCUCAUGAGGAUAACCUUCACUGGAAGCAGAAUUAUUAGUGUUUAAAAGGACAUGUAGGAGGUUACUUGGGAUAUCUUGUCUAGCAUCAGAUUCCUUGCUCUUUUGUUACCUGGGUUCAGACUUUAGAUGGAGUUUUUCCAAGGCAGGUUGGCAGACUGAUUUCUGAGCAUAAAAUCAGCAGUGUUUACUGAGAUUCCCACGCUGAAGCAAACUGCUCACAUUGCAAAUCUUUCUUGUUUCUCCAGCAUUAUUUUGCAAAUUUUCUGUGAUUUUUUCAUGUUUAGACUUAGAACUACGACAAAAAUCACACCCUGGCACUAAAUGGCAGUAAAGCCCAAAAUUUGUAUUUGAACAAGAGCUGAUGAUCCUCUUAUCCUGAACCAUCCUGUCCAACUAACACAACAGCAACAGUUGUAGCCACUCACAUCCAUUUCAUAGUUAAUAGGCAAAGGUAAAACUCACCUUAUGUAUAAUAAACACAAGUUUAACCUGUUAGUCCAGGUUAUUGAAGUAGCUAGUUCCAAAGCCCCAGCCAUACUUUUCAGACCAGAGCUCUUCUGAAGCUUCAAAAUAAAUGUAAGGAUGAUGAUGUCCAUCUUUUAUUACAGGGUUGGUCCAGCACAGACUGAGCACCUGCUGGAACACAGCCCUUCUCAAAGCUGGGCAGUGGGACCUGAAACAGAACUGACCAAAGUUUGGAGCUGACUGGGGACAAAAAUGUUUUGAAGGGGCCUGAUUAAAAACCCUGAUAUUUGCCUCAUCCCUCCAAAAAAAAGUGAAAUCCUCAGAAGAGAACUCCAAUCCUUCCCAGUUUGUUAGCAACUGGAGUCCAAAGUAGGCCAGCAUGGCCACAGAAGGAAUUCCUUUGCAGCCUCAUGCUAUGGUACUGCCAGUGAGUAAUUUCCCCAAAUACGUUUGUCACUCUUUCAAAAUUAGCAUUGGAUACAAAAAUAUAACCUUGUUUGUUUUUAAAUUAUAAUUUUGGUAAUGAAAGCAUGAAGCAUAUUUUUCAAAACCAGAUUGAUUUAGCAGGGACUGUAAACCAUCAAGCUGAAACACUUCAAUAACAUCAUCUUUCUUGUCACAGAUUUUUACAGCCCACGUCUAAAACUAAAAUAAAAUUACUUAUUUUGAGGAUCAGCGUUUACAAGAACAAAUGCCACACGCAUAUUGGACUUUUCACCACUAAAUAAUGCAAAUUCUAUUUCUGUUCCCCCGAAAUUAACUGAGGUAGGCUAGAAGAAAGGAAAUGGAAAUUGCAUUUUCCGAAGGCAGAGCUGCAACACCAAACCACACACCAAGACUGAAUAUUCCUUAAAUUCUCGCUUCAGAAUUCACAGGUGUACCAACCAUAUCAUUUUAAUUUAGUUGUUAGUAUAUACAUUAACACUCAAAAGUGUGAUAAAAACCAAACAAAAGUAGGUUUUUUUUUAAUAAACAGCAUGAUACAGACCGCGAAGAUAAAUAAAAAGCAGACUUUUUACAGUUUCCCAUGAACAUGAACUACAAUAAGUAUCAUAGGCCAAACUUUUGUUACUUGAGUAGCACAGCAGAAGGGUUAAAAAAGGGGUUGUGUUUUAUUUUAUUUAAAGUACUGCAAGACUAUUCUCAGUAUGACAACACAUGCAUCUUGCUGCAUCUUAAAUAUUUUUUGGCCCAUUAUUACUAAAAAUGUCUUGCUUUCUACCUACUUUACCACAGACCUUUAUCACAGAAUGACACACACAUGGCAACAUCCCCCCCUGCCCCAGUAGUGGUUAUUUCAAAAGUAAUUGUCUCAUUUUUAAAAGAGAAUUGAAGUACUGGUGGGGGUUUUUACUUUCCCUUUGAGGCAGACAGGUAACUGCUCCCAGCUUCAAUGAAGUCACACAGAAGCAUGGAGAGCUGACACCCUCCUGGGCUCUGUUUUUACCCAAAAUGCCAACAGGAUCCUGGGGGAGCAGGGCAAGGGAGGUGAGCCUUGCCCCUGCCCCUUGCUCAGCACUGGUGAGGCCACACCUGCAGCACUGGGGCUCCCAGUGCAAACCUGACCUGGAUGUGCUGGAAUGGGGCCAUGAAGGGCUGUAAAGGGGAUGGACAGAGAGGGCUGGGAUUGCUGUCCUCAAAGAGAAAGCCCGGGGCAUCUGGUCAAUGUGCAUAAAUACUUGAUGGGGAGGAAUAAAGACAGGCAAGGCUUUCCUCCGUGCCCACCAAAAAGACAACAGGCUAUGAAGAAGAAGAUAUUUCAUAUAAACAUUAUGAAAAAACAAAUUGACUGUGGGUUCUUCUUUCUUAGAGAGACUCUAAACCCAGCUAGGCAAUCCUGUCCUGGGCUUCCUGUUCUACUGCUGAUCCUGCUUUGAACAGGGUGUCUGGGCUAAAUGAACUCCAAAGGUCUCUGCAACCUCAAUGGUUCUGUGAAAAUUCUGCAGUUGUGUUGCCAUUUACAAUGACAACAAUACUUAAAAAAUUUCAAACCCAGGACUUCAGACUGCAGCCAUAUAUAUUUAAAGUCCUAUUCUCCACCAGGGAAGCAGAUUUCCAUAGUGUAGUGGAUAUUCACAGUUAAAACUUGAAGAAGUGCAAGGGGAAAAAGAGAAAGGAUGAUACUCCCAGAUAAUGAAUUACACAUUUAUCUUUACAUGAGAAAUGAAGAAUUUGGACCACAGCUGCUAUAAGACAAGAAGAUUAAUCUAUUUCUUUUCUUUCCCCAGCCCCAAAUGAAACAGUAAGACAAUUUUGGACAGCCUGGAGUAGUUGAUGAUUCAGGAUAUAGAACAUUAUUAAUAAAGCCUGAAAAUAGAUUAAAAAUAGUUAAUGAAACAAGGCAGAAUGAGAUUCCAACUAUGAAUAUCCAUAUUUUGGCUCACAAGAAUUAACUAAACUACAACAGACAUAAAGAUUCUUGAAAAAAAAAAACCAGCUUCUGCCUGAAUUAGGCUUUCAGUAACUUCAGCAAUACAGUUAAGUCAGGUUUAGUUGUGAUUCAUUUCAUGACUGGAACAGGAGCCUAACAAAAUGAAUGUAGUUGCACUGAACUGAAUGGCUCCUAAAGCAGUUUAAUAACUGCUGGGAAUCAGGCACCAGAAUUUCAAAAGGAUCAAGACAGAAUAGUGUAUUUUUUGCCUUCCUUCUGCCGCAGGAAUAUUGCAUCACAUACAGAAGUGACAGUAAGGACACUUAAAACACAUAUACAAAACCAGUGGGGACACUAACUUCAAAGUACAGGCAGAACGUUGCUUCAAUUGAUCUUCUCUUACAAAUAUUUUAUGAUGUUCUUAUGCUCUGGGCAUGUCCCAGAGGGGUGUUGGAGAGAGAGGGACAGAGGGAUUCACCUCUGGCUUUGAGUCAGGAGCACUAACACAGCAAGACCUCAGACUUUGCAGAGUCUAUCCCAUAAAGCUCAGAUGUCCAGAACACUGCAUGGCAAAUGAAGAACAGUGAUUUUUCCUGAGUGUGGGCUUAACAAGUCUGUAUGCUACAAAAGAGUAGGAAGAGGAAACAUUUACGCUAUCAAGGAACAAAAAUAUUGAAGUGUCAAGAAUGAAACAAACUGCAGACAGGAUUACUGUACUUUUGGAGAGCUUAAAAGGCUACUUUUUAAAUAAAGAACAUUUUGAAGUAAAAUUAUUAAGUGUUUAACUGGGCUGCUACUAAACAUUCCUCUCCUUAUGAGAACCUUUCAUACUGAAUCAUAGGAAUAAAUAAUCUGCAACUCUGAUGUACAUACAUCCUAAUUCUGAUUUCAUAUGCUGUUGUGAAUCCAGAGCAAUUCUGAUGAAGUGAGUGUUUUAUCAGCAUAAAGUGAAAUCAGAAUUUCUCAAAGAGAAGAGCACCUAUGGGUUUGGUUAGUGUAUGCAAAUAGAGAACUUCUAUAGCCAGUUUCCAGUUGGCUUCCCUUCAUUAACACAGAUGUAAAAAAACUAAACAAAGAAAAAC